rnacentral:rRNA from 1 species
GACGAACGCUGGCGGCGUGCUUAACACAUGCAAGUCGAGCGGUAAGGCCCUUUCGGGGGUACACGAGCGGCGAACGGGUGAGUAACACGUGGGUGACCUGCCCUCAGCUCUGGGAUAAGCCUGGGAAACUGGGUCUAAUACCGGAUAUGACUCCAUGACGCAUGUUGUGGGGUGGAAAGCCUUGUGCGGCUGAGGAUGGGCCCGCGGCCUAUCAGCUUGUUGGUGGGGGAUGGCCUACCAAGGCGACGGACGGGUAGCCGGCCUGAGGAGGGCGGACCGGCCACACGUGGG